rnacentral:rRNA from 1 species
AACGAACGCUGGCGGCAUGCCUAACACAUGCAAGUCGAACGAGACCUUCGGGUCUCGUGGCGCACGGGUGCGUAACGCGUGGGAACCUGCCCUUAGGUUCGGAAUAACUCCCCGAAAGGGGUGCUAAUACCGGAUAAUUACUUCGGACCAAAGAUUUAUCGCCUUUGGAUGGGCCCGCGUUGGAUUCGCUGGUUGGUAGGGUAAAAGCCUACCAAGGCGACGAUCCAUAGCUGGUCUGAGAGGAUGAGCAGCCACACUGGCACUGAGACACGGCCCAGACUCCUACGGGAUGCAGGAGUGGGUAAUAUUGGACAGUGGGCGAAAGGCUGAUCCAGCAAUGCCGCGUGAGUGAUGAAGGCCUUAGGGUUGGAAAGCUCUUUUACCCGGGAUGAUAAUGACAGUACCGGGAGAAGAAGCUCCGGCUAACUCCGUG